AAGGAAGGGAGGACACUGAAAACACAAGAAGAGCAAAUGAAAAGGUACUGCCGAUUGUGUCGUUGCCGACUGCUGUUUUUGCCACCCGUUGUUUACCACCAAAGCUGCCCAACUGUCCUGGGCUAGCCUGGAGGAUAGCGGCGAAGACGCUAACGACCACUCCUUUUGAACGUGAUCUGUCUGUUGACUUGUCCUUGUGUGUUUCCACCUGUCCCUGUCGCAACUAGUGUGUGUCGGUGUGUGUGUGUAGAGUGUUGGCGAGUGCGUGCGUGUUUGUCCUGGGCUAGCCUGGAGGAUAGCGGCGAAGACGCUAACGACCACUCCUUUUGAACGUGAUCUGUCUGUUGACUUGUCCUUGUGUGUUUCCACCUGUCCGUGUCGCAACUAGUGUGUCGGUGUGUGUGUGUAGAGUGUUGGCGAGUGCGUGCAUGUUUGUCCUGGGGAAGUGUUUGGUUUAAUUUGGGGGAUUCUGUUUAUGGUUUGUUUUGAGCCCUGCUUCUGUUAAGCCACUGGCAGGAGGCCUUUUUAUAGCUGCG
ensembl:lncRNA